rnacentral:rRNA from 1 species
CCUACGGGUGGCAGCAGUGGGGGAUAUUGCACAAUGGGGGAAACCCAUGCAGCGACGCCGCGUGUGGGAAGACGGUCCUCUGGAUUGUAAACCACUGUUCCCAGGGACGAAGAAGACGGUACCUGGGGAGUAAGCUCCGGCUAACUACGUACCAGCAGCCGCGGUAAUACGUAGGGAGCGAGCGUUGUCCGGAAUUACUGGGUGAAAAGGGGGCGUAGGCGGGGAUGCAGGUUGGGUGUAAAAACUACGGGCUCAACUGGUAGGCGCACUUGAGACUGCAGCUCUUGAGUGAAGUAGAGGCAGGCGGAAUGCGUAGUGUAGCGGUGAAAUGCGUAGAUAUUAGGAGGAACACCAAUGGCGAAGGCGGCCUGCUGGGCUUUUACUGACGCUGAGGCUCGAAAGUGUGGGGAGCAAACAGGAUUAGAUACCCCUGUAGUC